rnacentral:rRNA from 1 species
AGAGUUUGAUCAUGGCUCAGGAUGAACGCUGGCGGCGUGCUUAACACAUGCAAGUCGAACGGAGUGCCUUAGAAAGAGGAUUCGUCCAAUUGAUAAGGUUACUUAGUGGCGGACGGGUGAGUAACGCGUGAGGAACCUGCCUCGGAGUGGGAAUAACAGACCGAAAGGCCUGCUAAUACCGCAUGAUGCAGUUGGACCGCAUGGUCCUGACUGCCAAAGAUUUAUCGCUCUGAGAUGGCCUCGCGUCUGAUUAGCUUGUUGGCGGGGUAAUGGCCCACCAAGGCGACGAUCAGUAGCCGGACUGAGAGGUUGGCCGGCCACAUUGGGACUGAGACACGGCCCAGACUCCUACGGGAGGCAGCAGUGGGGAAUAUUGGGCAAUGGGCGCAAGCCUGACCCAGCAACGCCGCGUGAAGGAAGAAGGCUUUCGGGUUGUAAACUUCUUUUCUCAGGGACGAACAAAUGACGGUACCUGAGGAAUAAGCCACGGCUAACUACGUGCCAGCAGCCGCGGUAAUACGUAGGUGGCAAGCGUUAUCCGGAUUUACUGGGUGUAAAGGGCGUGUAGGCGGGAAGGCAAGUCAGAUGUGAAAACUAUGGGCUCAACCCAUAGCCUGCAUUUGAAACUGUUUUUCUUGAGUGCUGGAGAGGCGAUCGGAGUUCCGUGUGUAGCGGUGAAAUGCGUAGAUAUACGGAGGAACACCAGUGGCGAAGGCGGAUUGCUGGACAGUAACUGACGCUGAGGCGCGAAAGCGUGGGGAGCAAACAGAAUUAGAUACCCUGGUAGUCCACGCUGUAAACGAUGGAUACUAGGUGUGGGGGGUCUGACCCCCUCCGUGCCGCAGUUAACACAAUAAGUAUCCCACCUGGGGAGUACGAUCGCAAGGAUGAAACUCAAAGGAAUUGACGGGGACCCGCACAAGCGGUGGAGCAUGUGGUUUAAUUCGAAGCAACGCGAAGAACCUUACCAAGUCUUGACAUCCUCUUGACCGGUCAGUAAUGUGACCUUUUCUUCGGAACAAGAGUGACAGGUGGUGCAUGGUUGUCGUCAGCUCGUGUCGUGAGAUGUUGGGUUAAGUCCCGCAACGAGCGCAACCCUUAUCCUUAGUAGCCAGCAGUCCGGCUGGGCACUCUAGGGAGACUGCCAGGGAUAACCUGGAGGAAGGUGGGGAUGACGUCAAAUCAUCAUGCCCCUUAUGACUUGGGCUACACACGUGCUACAAUGGCGUAAACAAAGUGAAGCAAGAGUGUGAGCUUAAGCAAAUCACAAAAAUAACGUCUCAGUUCGGAUUGUAGUCUGCAACUCGACUACAUGAAGCUGGAAUCGCUAGUAAUCGCAGAUCAGAAUGCUGCGGUGAAUACGUUCCCGGGUCUUGUACACACCGCCCGUCACACCAUGGGAGUCGGAAAUGCCCGAAGUCGGUGACCUAACGUAAGAAGGAGCCGCCGAAGGCAGGUCUGAUAACUGGGGUGAAGUCGUAACAAGGUA